rnacentral:rRNA from 1 species
CUACGGGUGGCAGCAGUGAGGAAUAUUGCACAAUGGGGGGAACCCUGAUGCAGCAACGCCGCGUGGAGGAUGACGCAUUUCGGUGUGUAAACUCCUUUUAUAUGUCAAGAAAAUGACGGUAGCAUAUGAGUAAGCACCGGCUAACUCCGUGCCAGCAGCCGCGGUAAUACGGAGGGUGCAAGCGUUACUCGGAAUCACUGGGCGUAAAGGGCGCGUAGGCGGGUUGGAAAGUCAGGUGUGAAAUCCUACAGCUUAACUGUAGAACUGCACUUGAAACUUCUAAUCUAGAGUAUGGGAGGGGGAGAUGGAAUUAGUGGUGUAGGGGUAAGAUCCGUAGAUAUCACUAGGAAUACCUAAAGCGAAGGCGAUCUCCUGGAACAUUACUGACGCUAAGGCGUGAAAGCGUGGGGAGCAAACAGGAUUAGAUACCCCUGUAGUC